rnacentral:misc_RNA from 1 species
UAUUUAUAUUAUUAUAAUGAUAACUUUAAUUAAAAUAUUAAACAUUGAGUCCAACCCAUUCAAAGGUAUUUUAAUUUUCACAUGCUUCGACAACAGCUUUUACCCAUAGUCACAUUUUUGCAAUGUUGGGUCGUAUAUAUGUACUCUUAACGCUUUUUGUACCCUCUACAUUAAGGUAAAAACAAAUAGGAAAUGGUUGUAAAUAAUUUUGCUUUCAAUAGAUGGUAUAAACAUUUUUUCUAACUUUUUUUUUUUCUUCUAGUGAAACGUCCUGCGUUUUUAGAUGUGAUUGAUAUAUCAAGUCACUUAAACUUACAUUAUCCGCACGUAGUGGAAAAAAACCAAAAAGGACAAAAAAAAAGACGCCGUUGUGUUCUGUGUUCUUCUCGAGGUCUUGGACAGAAACGUACUGAUGUGUUUUGUUCUAUUUGCCCCGGUAAACCAGCACUGUGUCCUGGCGCUUGUUUUAUAACUUAUCACUCAACCAAACUUUAAAAUUUGUUAAAUCAUUUAGCAAUAUAACCAUUGGACUCCACUUGUUAAAAAUUGCCAAUGUUUACAAAACUAUUGUCAAAAUAUAUUCAAAAAAACUACCGAUUUUCCUGAUCCAGUUUAUUGUCCAAACAAUUGUGGUCGCUGCUACAAAGGUAUUAGAAGAAAAGGAAAUCUUAACAGACAUGUCAAUUACGAAUGUGGCGCACCAAAAAAAUUCAAAUGUAUUUACUGUUGGAAACGUUUUGUACAAAAAUAUGAUCUUAAGACACAUUAUAUUUAUGUUCAUAAAAACAUAUAGAUCCAAUUGAAUGUCCAAAUUUUUGUGGCAGAUCAUACAAAGGCAAGUUUCAAAAAUAUAGUCUCAGAAGACAUCUUAUUUACGAAUGCGGAGUUGUUCCUCAAUUUGAGUGUCCUGAAUGUCAAAAACGUUUUGCUGAUAAGGGCAGUAUGAAAAGACAUAACAUCUAUUACCAGAUCCUCUAUUCUGUCAGAACAAAUGUGGUCGAUAUUAUACAGGAAAAAAACGUAAAUCAAGUUUAAAGAGACAUUUAACAUAUGAAUGUGGUAUCGAUCCUCAGUUCAAAUGCAUAUAUUGUCCAAAACGUUUUACAGUAAAAACGAACAUGAAGAGACAUGUUCUUUUAAUUCAUAAAGUCCUGGAAUAUGUUUAAGUAUUUGAUACAUACAAACAUUUUUUAUAAAUAAGUCAAAAACUGCUUUACAGGUAUUUUCCGAAAAUUUAAAAAUAUGUUGUUGUGAAUAAAUCAAUUUUCCAGAACUAUUCAUAACUUGAUACUUUGAAAAUUAAUGAUAUUCAUAUUAAGAUUAAUAAUAUAGUUUUAGAUUCAAAAGCAUAUUUUAGCUUCAUAAAAACCAUACCUAAGGUUUAUGAUGAAAAUUUAAAAAUUACUUACACAUAAUAUAUUGUUUAAAUUAUAAAUAAUUUUAAAUAAAUCAUUGAUGUACUAUGACUAGGCAAUUGUUAUUUCUUACCAUUAUUUACUUAUUUACUAAGAUAUUAUUUUAUUAUUAAAAAGCACAUAAAUUAUAUCGAUAAAAAAUUGUCUGCUGUAUGAUGCUAAAUGUACAAGUUAUCUUCGAUUAGGGAAUUUCCAAAUGUCCAAAAUUCAUUGUAUUUUUAUUACUGUUGAAAAAAUGUAUUUAGAAUGAGCUAAAAGCAAUACAAAUGUAUAAACCUUUAAAUACUUUUUUAUAUACAUUUUGUAUUAUAUUUACUUUCAAGAAUAUUAUUAAAUUUAUUAAUGUACAGUAGUUAAAUUGGUAGGUGGAAUUCCAUUUUGAGAUUGGUACAUUGUAGUACUUUGUAAGAUUUUAUAAUUUUGUAAGUGCUCCCCAUGUUAACUAUUUAUUUUUAAACUUGGCUACAUACUGCCAUAGUUCCAUUGUGGUAUCUUAAAACUAUUUAAACAGGAAUUUAUUGUUGACUAUUCUUUAAAGAUAAAUGAUGAAACAAUGAAACCAAUAUUUAUUAUUGCAUUUAUCAAUGUUUUCCUUAUCAAUUAUUAAAUUAUAUCAUGACUAUAAACAAUAAUUUUUUUUUCUUAAAUUGGUUUUUAUAAGUUAUUUUAGUAAUAUAAUUUUCCUUAAUUACUAGGGUUCAGAUUUAAACACAAAUAAUUAAACAAAAAAUAUAUAAAUAAUUGCUAUUUUAUUUCAUUUAUUUCUAUUAAAAUAGAAUAAACCUUAUUUUACAUUUUUAUACUGCUCUUUUUUUGCUUUUUUCACUAUUUAUAAGACCUGGAAAUCUGAACACUACUUAUAUUAUAUAUUCAAUUUAUAAUAUUAUCUUUGAUUUGUUUGUAUCUAGUCUAUUUUUUAAUAUGAUUUAUGUAUUAUUGUUAAUGAUUUAAACACUAAUGUAUUCUUUGCAGAUUUGUAUGCUGGUCAAAGAUUUAAGUGCCCAAAGGAAUGUGGUAAAUCAUACAAGAACAAAUAUACCCUUAAAAGACAUUUAUUUUUUGAAUGUGGUGGUAAAAAAACAUUCUCUUGUAACCUAUGCAGUAAAAAAUUUUCACAGAACACUAAUCUGAAAUCACACUUAGCAUUAAUACAUCAAAUUAUAUCUUAAUUAUUAUUUGAAAAAUGUAUUUUGUUUUAGAUAUAGUUGAAUAUGAAACAUUUUAAUUUGAAAACCAUUCAAUUUUUAAAACAUAUAAAUGAUAUUUAUAGUAUUAAAUAGUACAAUUAAAUUAAAAUAAAAGCUAUAGUGAUCAAUUAGUUUUUGUUCUUUUUACCAGUAAGCAAUUGCCUUCGUGCAGCCCACCAAUAAUAUAAAUUUAAUAUUUCAUUACCAUAUAGUAUAUACUUGUUGCUUGUCCUUAUGUCAUGAUAUGAUGUAAAAAAAUUGUUAACACAAAAACAGGCCACGGGUGGGGCAUCACUGUUUUAUACAGUAGUUGCAUUUAUUGGACCCACAGUUAAAUGAUUCAUUCAUCUGUUGUACUUAAAUAGGCUAAUCCCCUUAUGCACCUACAUUACCACAGUACCACAUAGAAAACAAUUUGUCUAUUGGACUCAAUAUACCGAUUAAUAAGGUUAUGAUAACCAUCAAUCAAAGGAAACUCGUCACUUUUGCCCAAACAAUUGUGGUAAAAGUUAUAAAUUUUCUAACACCUUAAACCGACAUAUACAAUAUGAAUGUGGAGAUUUGCGGAGAUUCCAUUGUCCGUGCUGUUCAAAGGCUUUCAAACAAAAAUCAGCCAUGCAAGGACACGCAGCUACCAUUCAUAAAUGUCUUAUUAAAUAAAUAAAUAUAUAAGUAUAUGAUAUGAUUUAUUAGGUAUACAUUUAACCGAGUAUUUUACAUGUACAUGUAAUACUGUAAUAGUUAUAUAUUUUAUUGAUAUACCUAUUUCUAGAAUAAUGAAAUUUUUAUCAGAUUUAACUAUAACAUACAUAAGCCCCACCUAAUCAUCAAGAAUAAUUUUAUUGUACCACAAUGUCCAAAAAAAAUUGAAUAAUAAUAGAACAAUAAUAUUUUCAGAAGAUACCUACUAUUUAAUUGAUCACAAAUCAGCUGAUAACCCGGUUACUGAUUUGUGUUUGUAAUAAUACGUUAAUACUGUAAUUUGUGUUUUAUGUUUAAGUUUAUAAAGGUUGAAGUAAUGUUAGUGGGCGCCUUUACUCAUGCUAUCAAGCUUUGUAGAUUUGAUGCAUAUUGUGUUUUCUAUAUACAGAUUACAGAUUGUAAAUAUUUGUUUUUCUAAAAAAACAAGUUACUUGUAUUUUAUACAUUCAUCUGGUUUUAAACCUAUUUAUUAUGAAUUAUACUGUAUGACAUUUGUUAUUGAAAAUAUGUAAUUUGCUAUUAAAAAUGGAUAUAAUUUUAGGUUAGAAAUUAUUAUCUAUUUUAUUUUAUAUUAUGCUAUAUAAAUAUGCAAUACUUAAUUAAAAUUAAUAAAUAUAAUUUAGUGCUACUUGAUAAAACCUAUUGUUUUACAAGAAGACUAUUAUUAUUACCAUACAUUAUUUUCUUAUUGUUAUUUUAAUUAUAGGUAUUAAGAAGAUAUCUGUUUGCUAAGUAUUAAAAAUGUAUUUGAUUUUAAUCAAAGUGGUUAUAAAUUUCAAGUUCCCAUAACUAUUAUAAAAAGCAAUUUGCUGUAUUUUGGUUAAUUUGGUUUUAUUAUGUAUCUUAGAUCUAUAUAUAUCAGUACUCAGUAUGUGUACUGUAAGUUGUAACGUACAGUGUAAGUUGUUUAAGUAGUUGAUAUAUUAUCCCAAUAUGACGUAUAUGUAUUAAAUCAAGCCUCAUUAUAUAUUCUAUUAAUAUUUUAUGUUUAUAAUUUAUCUAUGAUAUUAAUCUAAAUCAAAUACUUAUCUGUUAAUUAUAAUUUAUACAUAUCUACUAGUUUCAACACUUAAUAAUUGUAUUUGUUAAAUAAAAUGUAAAAGUAGUUUAUAAAUUAAUAAAUUAUCAUUUUAGAUUCUGA